UUGUCUUAGUUGUAGGUUUAUUAGUCGUUGUUGUGGUAGUAGUGGCAGUUGUCUUAGUUGUAGGUUUGUUAGGCGUUGUAGUGGUAGGAGUGAUGAUUGUCUUAGUUGUAGGUUUGGUAGUCGUUGUAGUGGUAGGAGUGGUGAUUGUCUUAGUUGUAGGUUUGGUAGUCGUUGUAGUGGUAGGAGUGGUGAUUGUCUUAGUUGUAGGUUUGUUAGUCGUUGUAGUGGCAGGAGUGGUGAUUGUCUUAGUUGUAGGUUUGUUAGUCGUUGUAGUGGUAGGAGUGGUGAUUGUCUUAGUUGUAGGUUUGUUAGUCGUUAUAGUGGUAGGAGUGGUGAUUGUCUUAGUUGUAGGUUUGUUAGUCGUUGUAGUGGUAGGAGUGGUGAUUGUCUUAGUUGUAGGUUUGGUAGUCGUUGUAGUGGUAGGAGUGGUGAUUGUCUUAGUUGUAGUGAUAGGAGUGGUGAUUGUCUUAGUUGUAGGUUUGUUAGUCGUUGUAGUGGUAGGAGUGGUGAUUGUCUUAGUUGUAGG